rnacentral:rRNA from 1 species
GAUCAUGGUUCAGAUUGAACGCUGGCGGCAGGCCUAACACAUGCAAGUCGAACGGUAACAGGAAGAAGCUUGCUUCUUUGCUGACGAGUGGCGGACGGGUGAGUAAUGUCUGGGAAACUGCCUGAUGGAGGGGGAUAACUACUGGAAACGGUAGCUAAUACCGCAUAACGUCGCAAGACCAAAGAGGGGGGACCUUCGGGCCUCUUGCCAUCGGAUGUGCCCAGAUGGGAUUAGCUAGUAGGUGGGGUAACGG